rnacentral:rRNA from 1 species
UACGAGAGGUCCAAACGUUAUUCGGAAUCACUGGGCUUACAGAGUUCGUAGGCGGUCCAGAAAGUGGGGUGUGAAAGCCCUCGGCUUAACCGAGGAACUGCGCUCCAAACUACUGGGCUAGAGGAAGAUAGAGGUGAGCAGAACUGAUGGUGGAGCGGUGAAAUGCGUUGAUAUCAUCAGGAAUACCGGAGGCGAAGGCGGCUCACUGGGUCUUUUUCUGACGCUGAGGAACGAAAGCUAGGGGAGCAAACGGG